UAAUUUUUCUAGCCGAACUCCACCCAGGAGACGGGGGACCCAAGUUUUUGGGGCGCAGUCCCGCAAUGCGGGACGGAGUACUUUCAAGCUCUAGCCCGUCAGCUAACCCCGCAGGCCAAUUUGAGAGCCUCC
rnacentral:sRNA from 2 species